GAUAACCUUCAAGUCAUGUUCAACAGUAAGCAGGCUUCCAAAGCAAUCCACCUUGGGAGCUGUAACCCAGCCUAUGCUAUAACAACCAUAAGAUGUUGGUUACUUAUUUUCUUCUCUGUUCUUUUCUUCCUCCACAUGUGGUCAUUGAAGUAGAGGGUGUUCACCAAUUCACUAGUAAUUGAUUAACGUCACAUUCUGCCCCCUGGAGGCUGCCUGCAAGAUUCAUGAACUUGUUUUGCUUCUGAAGAAUGAAGAUCCUGAGGUCAUGCGACCUCCUUGGCGAUGUCCAGAAGUUUGAUUGACGAAGGGACGCAAACAGCUUUGAUCAUGGGGGAAUCUCACCUCCCGCCCUACCCACCUUACAAAGGAAGGUCAGAUUCGAGAGUUUGGGUCUCCCAUCCUCAGGCCGUGGCCAAAUUGAAUAAACCUUUCUCUGCUCCUAAGCGCCCACAUGUCAGUGCUUGGCUUACAGCGUGUCAGGUACUCAAACCUACCCUUUGGGGUUCUGCAACAGUCUUUUGACUCGAUGGUAACAUUGCGUCUCCAACUAAAGAAUCUUAUCAUAAAUUUCUCAAAUGAUUGAUGUACUGAUCAGUGUGUAACCUGCAGACACUAAAUAGGACACUGAUUUCUUUUAAGGUGAGCUGAAGUCUGAAGUUCGACUGAUUGUCUUGUGUGUAGGCAUUCUUAUCCUGUAUGAUGUCAUCUGUACCCCAUGAUGGUGAUGGUAACCUCUGUGUUGUACCCUCUAAGGAAAGGAGUCCCCCUCCAUUGUUUUUUGUUGUUGUUGUUGUUGUUUUUGAGAUAUAUUUUUGCUCAUGACACCCAGGCUGUGGUACUGUGGCACAAUCUCGGCUCACCGCAACCUCCACCUCCUGGGUUCAAGCGAUUUUCCUGCCUCAGCCUCCCAAGUAGCUGGGAUUACAGGCAUGCACCACCAUGCCUGGCUAAUUUUUUUUUUUUUUUUUUUGUAUUUUUAGUAGCGACAGGGUUUCACCAUGUUGGUCAAGUUGGUCUCAAACUCCUGACCUCAGGUGAUCCACCCACCUCGGCCUCCCAAAUUGUUGGGAUUACAGGCAUGAGCCACUGCGCCCAGCUCCCCCUUCCUUCUUUUAAACUUUCCUAAAAAAAACCUUGUGACAGACUCUGAAAUACCCCCAACCUUGUUGGUGUGUCUUCCUGGGUCGAUCAUCACAUUUGGCUUCCAAUAAACCUUUAUCAAAUUAUUUCUGCCUCAAUAGCCUUAAUUUCGGUGGACACUCUGGACUGCUUAAUAAAUGGUGCUGGCACAACUGGCUAUCCAUCUGGAAGAAAAUUGAGUCCUUUUUCAUACCAUAUGCAAAAAUAAAUUCCAGAUGGCUCAGAGCUUCAAUGUAAAAAAUUAAAAUCUUAGAAAAAAAUCCAGAAGACAUGUACAAAACAGAAAUUAGGAAAAUCCUUAUAAUUAAAAGAGAGAAUCCAGAGACCUUCAACAAAAAUAUAGAUCUAUUUGAUUACAUAAAAUCUAAAAUGUCUGUAUGGGAAAAGAUACAAAUAGACAACUAGGCCAGGCAUGGUGGCUCACACCUGUAAUCCUAACACUUUAGGAAGCCAAGGCAGGCGGAUCGCUUGAGGUCAGGAGUUUCAGACCAGCCUGGUCAACAUGGUGAUACCCCAUCUCUACUAAAAAUACAAAAAUUAGCCAGGUGUGGUGGCGUGUGCCUGUAAUCCCAGCUACUCGGGAAGCUGAAGCAGGAGAAUCACUUGAACCCGGGAGGCAGAGGUUGCAAUGAGCCAAGACUAUCCCACUACACUCCAGCUUGGGCAACUCUGUCUCAAAAAAAAAAAAAAAAAAUCUGCAUGUGACUUUUUUUUUUUUUAAAUAGUUAGGGUCUCACUAUGUUGGCCAGGCUGGUCUAGAACUCCUGGGCUCAAAUAAUCCUCCUGCCUCGCCCUCCCAAAGAUGUGGGAUUACAGGCAUAAGCCACCAUGCCUGGCCUUUUUUCUUUUCUUUCUUUCUUUCUUUCUUUCUUUUUUUUUUUUUUUGAGAAGGAAUUUCACUCUUGUUGCCCAGGUUGAAGUGCAAUGGUGCGAUCUCUGCUCACCACAACCUCUGCCUCCUGGGUUCAAGCGAUUCUCCUGCCUCAGCCUCCUGAGUAUCUGGGAUUACAGGCAUGCGCCACCAAGCCCGGCUAAUUUUGUAUUUUUAGCAGAGACGGGGUUUCUCCAUGUUGGUCAGGCUGGUCUCAAACUCCUGACCUCAGGUGAUCCACUCACCUCGCCUUCCCAAAGUGCUGGGAUUACAGGCAUGAGCCACCGCGCCCGGCCCUUUCUUCUUUUUUUUUUAAUGGGAGAAGGAGCCAAUGCAAUGGCUACUCUUUAUUGGAAAGAAGAAACUUUGCAGCACAUUUUGGGUAACUUGGUGCAGGUGCUCAGUACGUCAGCUGGCGGGGCACCAGCUUGUAAUGGGUUCCAUAGCUGGGGCAUCACUGGGUCUCGCCUUUGUGCAGCCCAAAGCAGGUGAUGGUACUGUUGUCCUCUACGCAGAUGCAGCCCACUCUUCUCUUGUUGGUGAUGGAGAGGACUAAAUUAGGGUCUUCUUUGGUGCCUGAAGCUGCCUUUAGGGGUAGUAUAUUAUAUGGGUCCGGUCCCUUCCUUGCAGCCAUGAUGACCUCCCUCUCCAACGCAGUUGCCUGCUUGUCAUCAGUAGUGCGAUGCUGUUUGCAGGGUAAAUAAAUUGGAAAUAAAGUGAAUUCCCACUGGUGGAUGAAUGUGUAAUUUAUGGUACAUUCACACCAUUGACUAGUAUGCAGCCAAAAUUUCUACAAGAAAUUAUUGAGAAAAGGGACAGAAUGAUGUGUAUAAUCAUGUGUGAUGGUUAAUACUAAGAGUCAACUUGAUGGGAUUGAAGGAUGUAAAGUACUGAUCCUGGGUGUGUCUGUAAGGGUGCUGCCAAAGGAGAUUAACAUUUGAGUCAGUGGGCUGGGAAAGGCAGACCCACCUUUAAUCUGGGUGGGCACCAUUUAAUCAGCUGCCAGUGAGGCCAGAAUAUAAAGCAGGCAGAAUAACGUGAAAAGUCCAGACUGGCUUAGCCUCUUAGCCUACAUCUUUCUCUCAUGCUGGAUGCUUCCUGCCCUCGAACAUCAGACUCCAAGUUCUUCAGCUUUGGGACUUGGACUGGCUUUCUUACUCUUUAGCUUGCAGAUGGACUAUUGUGGGACCUUGUGAUUGUGUGAG
rnacentral:lncRNA from 1 species